UUACCUGCCCAGUGACAAGUUAAACGGCCGCGGUAUUUUGACCGUGCGAAGGUAGCGCAAUCACUUGUCUUUUAAAUGAAGACCUGUAUGAAUGGUGGAACGAGGGCUUAACUGUCUCCCCUUUCAAGUCAAUGAAAUUGAUCUACCCGUGCAGAAGCGGGUAUAUAACUACAAGACGAGAAGACCCUUUGGAGCUUAAGAUACAAAAUCAACUAUGUCAAGAACCACAAAACAAGUUAAACUAAAUAACACCUGAUUCUAAUCUUCGGUUGGGGCGACCACGGGAGAAAAUCAAGCUCCCAUGAGGACUGAGGUAAAUCCUUAAAACUAAGAGAGACAUUUCUAAGCCACAGAACAUCUGACCAUAUAGAUCCGGAUACCACCGAUCAACGAACCAAGUUACCCUAGGGAUAACAGCGCAAUCCCCUUCCAGAGUCCAUAUCGACAAGGGGGUUUACGACCUCGAUGUUGGAUCAGGACAUCCUAAUGGUGCAGCCGCUAUUAAGGGUUCGUUUGUUCAACGAUUAAAGUCCUACGUGAUCUGA
rnacentral:rRNA from 1 species